rnacentral:rRNA from 1 species
GACGAACGCUGGCGGCGUGCUUAACACAUGCAAGUCGAACGGAAAGGCCCUGCUUUUGUGGGGUGCUCGAGUGGCGAACGGGUGAGUAACACGUGAGUAACCUGCCCUUGACUUUGGGAUAACUUCAGGAAACUGGGGCUAAUACCGUAUAGGAGCUCCUGCUGCAUGGUGGGGGUUGGAAAGUUUCGGCGGUUGGGGAUGGACUCGCGGCUUAUCAGCUUGUUGGUGGGGUAGUGGCUUACCAAGGCUUUGACGGGUAGCCGGCCUGAGAGGGUGACCGGCCACAUGGGGACUGAGAUACGGCCCAGACUCCUACGGGAGGCAGCAGUGGGGAAUAUUGCACAAUGGGAGGAAGCCUGAUGCAACAGCGCCGCGUGCGGGAUGACGGCCUUCGGGGUGUAAACCGCUUUCGCCUGUGACGAAGCGUGAGUGACGGUAAUGGGUAAAGAAGCACCGGCUAACUACGUG